rnacentral:siRNA from 1 species
CUAUACAAGUCCACAUCGUGUAGA